UACGAAGGGGGCUAGCGUUGCUCGGAAUCACUGGGCGUAAAGGGCGCGUAGGCGGCCAUUCAAGUCGGCGGUGAAAGCCCAGGGCUCAACCCUGGAAUUGCCUUCGAUACUGUUUGGCUAGAGACCGGAAGAGGUAAGUGGAACUGCGAGUGUAGAGGUGAAAUUCGUAGAUAUUAGGAAGAACACCAGUGGCGAAGGCGGCUCACUGGCCCGGUACUGACGCUGAGGCGCGAAAGCGUGGGGAGCAAACAGG
rnacentral:rRNA from 1 species